AUUCCAGCUCCAAUAGCGUAUAUUAAUGUUGUUGCAGUUAAAAAGCUCGUAGUUGAAUUUCUGGUUAAAAUCUUAGCUGGCUUUGGUCGUUAAUGUUUUAAUCAUCCGUUAGAGAACUAUAACCGUCCUUAACUGGUCAUUAUAGAGAUCUAACAUUUUACUUUGAAAAAAUUAGAGUGUUCAAGGCAGGCAAUCGUCAUGAAUACUAUAGCAUGGAAUAAUGGAAUAGGACUUUGGUUCAUUUUAUUGGUUACUGAACCUUAGUAAUGAUUAACAGGGACAGUCAGGGGCACUCGUAUUCCGCCGAGAGAGGUGAAAUUCUCAGACCAGCGGAAGACGAUCCACUGCGAAAGCAUUUGCCAGGGAUGUUUUCAUUG
rnacentral:rRNA from 1 species